CACGUAUUUAGCCGGAGCUUCUUAGUCAGGUACCGUCAUUUUCUUCCCUGCUGAUAGAGCUUUACAUACCGAAAUACUUCUUCACUCACGCGGCGUUGCUGCAUCAGGGUUUCCCCCCAUUGUGCAAUAUUCCCCACUGCUGCCUCCCGUAGGAGUUUGGGCCGUGUCUCAGUCCCAAUGUGGCCGUUCACUCUCUCAAGCCGGCUACUGAUCGUUGUCUUGGUAGGCCGUUACCCUGCCAACUAACUAAUCAGACGCGGGCCCAUCCUGUACCACCGGUAGUUUUUCCUGCUGUACCAUGCGGUACUGUAGGCUUAUGCGGUAUUAGCAGUCCGUUUCCAGUCUGUUCGUCCCCGUGUACGAGGCUAGGUUACCCACGUCGUUACCUCCACCCCGGUCCGCCCUACCUCACGUCCCUCGGCG
rnacentral:rRNA from 1 species